UUGGUGUCAAAACCUGGGAUGGGGUCUGGAUUCUACAACAGAGUGGUACUUUCUUGCAACCUGGGAAGGAAGAGGCAGCGGCAGCUCACCCCUGGCUAAUUCCCGAAUCCUGGUUGGCCUCCCUUUCCCAGCCCUGUCCAGUUUCCUCUUUCUACGGUGGAAUCCUUUCUCUCGGCCCCAUCCUCCCACCGCUUUCUCCUUCCUCUUUCUUUCCUCUCAGUGGCUCUGGCAAGGACCACUCCCACUGCUGGACUUCGCAUCCAACACCAGCUUCCAGUCUGUGGGUCCUCCAACCCAGGUUCCAGUCUGUCAAGUAUUCUAAACCUGGCUGCUGAAGACUGACGGGGCCCAGGGCCUGCCAUCCCCACCGCCAUCACCACCUCGGAACCCAGGGUAACGCUGUCAGUCUCUGGACCAACCUUGCUGUGCCUAACAAGAAUUCCAGAAGUCACCCAUCCGAAAGGCUCUGGCUCAUGACACUCUCCACUUCCAAUCUUAAAUCUUUUACUUCAUACCUUAUCUCAGAUCUCUCCUGGUACCCCUUCCCCACUCCCUUAGAUAAUCCAUCUCAAUUCCUCAUGCUAAUCGAGGAGCUAUGGCUGCAAGGCACCUUCCAAGAUUUCACACCUACACAAAUCUCCUUUUUCUCCUUUUGCCUUCUCUGUUUAUGGGACAUUCUGAGUCCUCACCCGCAAUCACUGACAGCUGGGCCCCCUUCGUCAACCUCACACACCACCUCUUAAGUCAGUUGCAAUCUCCCCCUCUCCUCCAACUGUUGGAUUUGUCUUUCUGUAUGCAACCAUUGAUUCAUGCUUCUUUCGGCCGAACUACUUACGUGGACACAGUCCGACAUGAGUUUACACAUUUCUUACUUGGCUAUACCAUUCUUGGCUGAUCCAUGCCCGAAACUGGUCCAUAACCUGGAAACACAGCUAAAGACCUUUCUUUCAAACUCAGCUCUCUAAGCAUAGUUUCGGGAGGGCUGUUGCCCUCCUUCCCCUAAUAGAUUCUGGACUAACAUCCACGCAAACCAACACAACAUCAUCUAAACCACCAAUAUGGGGGUCCCAUUUCUACUCGAAUUUUUUUCAUAUCCCCGCCCCUUUUAUGUCUCAGCUGAACCUACCCUAACCCAAACCAUGCCACAAUGGCGGGACAGGUUCCCCAGUCCCUAUGUGGUCUUAUUCUUACCCUCACACCCUCUGUAGACCAUCAAUUCCACACCCUAAUUACAAAAUCAUGUCCACCUCUGCCUGGCAGUAGCUGUUAUCCUAUUCUGGCUCACCUACCAUCCAAACAUCCCUGAACCUCACCUCCGAUCCUCUCUUCUUUCCUACCAUCCGAUUCCCAGCUCCCCCCAUGCAAACUCUGUUCUCUAUGUCACUGGUUUAAAGGUGCCCCCUGGAAAAAAUGUAACAAUUCCCUCACCUGCGACUGAUACCUUACAGCCACCACGCCAGUGCAGCAAUGGUUAAUGGUUGACAAAGACAAUUUCUUUCUCUCUCUCUCCAAAACCAAACAGCCUUCACCAAGUUCCCAGACAACACUCCCUAUCAGGUCCUUACUGGUGCCACUCUGGCUGGCAGUUACUCAAUUUGGGAGAAUGAAAACAUCCUUUCAUGGCUAGCUACCUUCACCUACAACUUCUGCCUGCCCACCCCGGUCUCUUCUUUUGUGUUGUACAAACUGAUAUAUUUGCCUACCAGCCAACUGGUCAGGAACUUGCACCCUGGUCUUUCAAGCUCCCGCCGUCAACAUCCUACCCCCUAACCAAACUAUUCCAAUUUCUUUAGAAGCCUCUAUCUCCUCUACACCCAUAAGAAGUAAAUGUUCUUUACACCUCAUCACCCGGCUAACAGGAUUAAGCGUCACUGCUGUACUUGGCACUGGAAUAGCAGGCAUAACCACCUCAAUCACCUCAUACCAAAGGCUAUUCACAACUCUUUAUAACACCCUAGAAGAUAUGCACACCUCCAUUACCAGCCUCCAACAACAAAGACUUCCUCACAGGAGUCAUCCUUCAAAACCAGAGAGCCCUGGACCUACUAACUGCUGAGAAAGGGGGUACCUGCAUAUACCCCCAGGAAGAAUGCUGUUUCUGCAUUAAUGAAUCCAGCAUUGUUCACAAUGCAGUUUGCAGGCUUCGUGACAGGGCUGCAGAGCUCUGACAUCAAGUCUGUGACUCCUGGUGACAAGAGUCAUCCCUUCUAAGAUGGAUACCCUGGGUUGCUACCUUCCUAAGACCCCUGAUCUUCCUUCUCCUGUUACUAAUGAUUGGGUCAUGUGUAUUUAACCUUAUAUCCCGCUUCAUUUCCCAAAGGCUGAGUUAUUUUAUCUGGGCAAGCAUGCAAAAACACAUUGAUAAUAUCCUUUUCCUUUGCCAAGUCCAAUACCAGAGCCUAGGAGGAAGCCGUUCUGAAGCUCCAGAACCCGGGCACUAAUCACAACGUCCCUAUCCAGCAGGAAGCAGCCAGAUGAUCAACGACGCCCUUCUUCCUUUUCUUUUUUUUUGUAAGACAGUUUUGCUCUUGUUGCCCAGGCUGGAGUGUGCAAUGCCGC